rnacentral:rRNA from 1 species
GAUGAACGCUGGCGGCGUGCCUAAUACAUGCAAGUCGAGCGAACAGACGAUGAGCUUGUUCCGUUGACGUUAGCGGCGCACGUGUGUGUAACACGUGUAUAACCUACCUAUAUUACUGGUAUAACUUCGGGACACCGGAUCUUAUACCGUAUAAUAUCUUGAAGCGCAUUGUUCAAUAGUGAGUUUCGGCUUUUCUGGCUCUUCUAGAUGCUUCCCGGCCGUAUUAGAUAGUUGGUACGGUAACGGCUUACCAAGGCUACGAUGCGUAGACGACCUGAGAGGGUGAUAGGCCACACUGGAACUGAGACACGGUCAAGACUACUACGGGAGGCAGCAGUAGGGAAUGUGCCGCAAUGGGCGAAAGCCUGACGGAGCAACGCCGCGUGAGUGAUGAAGGUCUUCGGAUCGUAAAACUCUGUUAUUGGGGAAGAACAAAUGUGUAAGUAAAUAUGCCCGUAUUGACGGUAACUAAUCAAAAAGCAACGGCUAACUACGUG